rnacentral:lncRNA from 1 species
UUACAUAAGAGACAGUUGAAAAUUCUUCCAGAGUAGGCUCUUGUGAUGUCAUUUGUUUGAAGCUUUCCUAGAAACCCAAGCCAAAGCAUGAAGGAGUAUCUUGGAACAUGAAGAUUCACAGGAUGGGGUACCAGUCUACUACCUGCUGUCGGUGUCUAAUGCAGUCCCAGAUGUGCCGAGCCUUGAUGUUGCAUAUAUUUGUAGAGUUCCAGAGAAUGCAGUCACUUAAGGCAGUAGGGACUGGGGCAGAAUUGAAGGCUCUCCUGAACAGAAUAACUUCAUGAUGGUUUGACUGUGGAAGAUUCCAAGAGGAAUUCUGCAUGGGUUUUCUUCUCUCUAGAAUUUUUCCUCUGCCUUCUCUCUACCUUUUCAAAACUUCCCCCGCCUUUAUCCUCACCUAAUUUUUCUGGCUAUCACCUAACUUUUCCGGUCUUUCCCUCUUCUUCUCCCUUCUCUGCUCCCA